rnacentral:rRNA from 1 species
AGCGAACGCUGGCGGCAGGCUUAACACAUGCAAGUCGAGCGGACCUUUCGGGGUCAGCGGCGGACGGGUUAGUAACGCGUGGGAACGUUCCUUCCGGUUCGGAAUAACCCUGGGAAACUAGUGCUAAUACCGGAUACGCCCUUAUGGGGGAAGGUUUACUGCCGGACGAUCGUCCCGCGUCUGAUUCGCUCGUUGGUUGGGUAACGGCAUACCAAGGCGACGAUCAGUAGCUGGUCUGAGAGAAUGAUCAGCCACACUGGGACUGAGAAACGGCCCAGAAUCCUACGGGAGGGAGGAGUGGGGGAUAGUGGACAAUGGGCGCAAGCAUGAGCCAGCCAUGACGGGUGAGUGAUGAAGGCAUUAGGGUUGUAAAGCUCUUUUAUCCGGGAAGAUAAUGACGGUACCGGAGGAAUAAGCCCCGGCUAACUUCGUG